GAUCAACGCUGGCGGCGUGCUUAACACAUGCAAGUCGAACGAAGUUUUUCCUUCGGGAGACACUUAGUGGCGGACGGGUGAGUAACGCGUGGGUAACCUGCCCUGUACAGGGGGACAACAGCUGUAAACGGCUGCUAAUACCGCAUAAGCCCUUAGCACUGCAUGGUGCAUAGGGAAAAGGAGCAAUCCGGUACGGGAUGGACCCGCGUCUGAUUAGCCAGUUGGCAGGGUAACGGCCUACCAAAGCGACGAUCAGUAGCCGAUCUGAGAGGAUGUACGGCCACAUUGGGACUGAGACACGGCCCAGACUCCUACGGGAGGCAGCAGUGGGGAAUAUUGCACAAUGGAGGAAACUCUGAUGCAGCGACGCCGCGUGAGUGAAGAAGUAUUUCGGUAUGUAAAGCUCUAUCAGCAGGGAAGAAAAUGACGGUACCUGACUAAGAAGCACCGGCUAAAUACGUG
rnacentral:rRNA from 1 species